rnacentral:rRNA from 1 species
GACGAACGCUGGCGGCGUGCCUAAUACAUGCAAGUAGGACGCAGUUGCGAACGGGUGAGUAACGCGUAGGUAACUGCCUAUUAGAGGGGGAUAACUAUUGGAAACGAUAGCUAAUACCGCAUACUAGUAGAUGGACCUGCGUUGUAUUAGCUAGUAGGUAGGGUAAUGGCCUACCUAGGCGACGAUACAUAGACGACCUGGUAGGGUGGACGGCCACACGUGGACUGGGACACGGGCCAGACUCCUACGGGAGGCAGCAGUAGGGAAUCUUCGGCAAGGGGGGGAACCCUGACAGAGCAACGCCGCGUGAGUGAAGAAGGGUUUCGGAGCGUAAAGCUCUGUUGUUAAGGAAGCGGUACUUACACAGAAAGGGACGGCUAACUACGUGCCAGCAGCCGCGGUAAUUC